GCUGCUAAAUGUACGUUUCUAUAAUAGUAUAUGUUAUAAUAAAGACCGACGAGGAACAUUAAAAACGAAAAAAAAAAAAAAAACAAAAACAUGUAAUACAACAGUAAUAACAUAAUAAUAUAGGUACUUAACAGUAGGCAAUAAUAACAACGUAACGUAAUAUAAUAUAAUAUGAAUAUAUUAUACUUACACACAAAUAAUGGAAGAUUUGUAAUCAAUCAAUAAAGUAUAAUUAUUAAGUAUUAUUAAAAUAUUUAGUAAAUUGUAUGAUAUAAUUUAUAAACGCGAGAGCCGAGAACGAUAAAUAUAUAACCCUGGAGUGUUUAUAUACUAUUAUGUCUAAAUUUCGAAAAUCUAUUCGAGUAAAUAAAUUUUAAAAUAAGUUUUAAUAUAUAUAUAUAUAUAUAAAAAAAAAAAAAAAUGGAUUGAUUUAUUUUUUAUUUUAUUUACAACAGAAAAACCGCGAAAAUUACAAUUUCCUAUACUCGUAUGUAUUAUAGUAAUAUUAAAUAUUAAAAUGAAAUAAACAUUUUGUAUUGACGAACCUAUUAUAAUAAAUGGUAUUGGAUUCAGAAACGGCCGAUAUUUUUGCGAGAAACGAACGAAACCAAUAGGAAUAUUGAAAACUGUUUAAGGUUAAUCGAGUAGCAUUAGCUGUACAUAUUUAUAUAUUUUCCUCGGGGGUAAGAUAAACAAUAUUAAUUUUGUUUUGACUUUUAAGCGGACCGAUACGUGCCGAUCGCGGGUCACGAAAACACUAAUUUAUGGACGUAAUUACGUUUCUCCGGGUAUAUAUUUGUUUGAAACUUUAAACGUGAAUCGAUUAUUAAUGCUGCCGUCUAAACUGUGCGACGAACAUGCGCGAUAAUUAACGCGUACGGAAUUCGAGGUGCAAUUUCUAGUGAAACAAUCGUAGUGUAUAUUGCACUGCAGUGGCGUCAUUUGCGGGAUGCACGGGCAUACGAAUGCGCCCCGCGAACAUUGUUUAGCGCACUCAAAAUGUAUAUCGCAGAUAUAGUAGAAAUACAGUUUCACAGAAUUUAUAGUACGCAACAAUCAUUUCGUAAUUUGACUAAAAUGCCACUAUGCAGUUUUUAUCGUAAUAUUUUAGACACCAUCCCCGUGGAUAUUUAACAGCAAAUCCGGAUUCAGGAUUUCGAAUCGCAAGAAUUCCGAUUUCGGAUUUCAAAAGUUUUAAUUGCACAUGAUUAGUCUUUGAUAUCGAAAUUAAUAGUCACUAUUAGUUUUGCAUCCCGUAAAAAAACGUGAAACGACGUCCCGAGUAUUUUAUGUGAUAAUUGUUAAAAAAAAAAAAAAUUUCGAUAUAUAUGUAUAUAUAUAUAUAUAUUAUAACACAAUAUUAAUAAUAAUAAUAGAAUAAAACAUCAUCGAUUAACGAAUAGAGGUACCGAUAUUCGUUCGAUAGGGAUAUUAAAAACGAAUUAUGGACACCUAUAUCGCAGCAAUCCGUUUGAAGUUUUUCGUAAAAAAAAAAAAAGAAAUCGAUACGUGCAAGAACAAACGAAAUGUAAUAUUGGAAUGUCGUGUGAAUCGAUUAUACCUGAAAGUAAAAUCGGCCGCAACGUUCGGCCGAGAAAACACGCGGGGCGAGAUGUUUCGACCAGAACUGACGAGGGCCGAGUGUGUACAGAUAAAAAAAAUAUGAAGAAGUGCGAAUCCAUUUUUUUCCCGUCGAAACAUCAAUCGAGCCCAUACUCCAAGUGUCUGAAUAAAUGCAAUUUAUUAUUAUAUUUUUGUAGAAUAUAAAACGUAUAGGUUUAUAUAAUUGAGAAGUUAUGAAUUUUUCCCCUCUAUUUUUCUGUUCGCGAGUUUUUCAUUGCACAAGUAGACAUAUUGAACGAGGCCGUCCUUUGGGAGAAGGGGGCCGUCGCGUCUUUGAUAUAAAUUUGAUUUUCAAAAAAAAAAAAAAGAAAGAAAAAGAAAAGGUUGUAGAAUAUUUGACAAGCAUAACUAGCAACUAUUUUCCUCUAUUUAUAACGGAUGCUGCAGAAUGUACAAUAGGUACUCGCAGUACGACUUUGACCGGUUUUACGCGUUAUUUAUAUAAUUAUCUCAAUACGAUAGAUGAACAAGAACAUUUAUUUCGGAAAACAAUAAUUGAGCAAAAAAUUAGUUUGAAAAAUAUUUUUGAAAACGUAAAAAAGUAUUCACACGAGCGAUGUUAUAUUUACAAACGGUUUGAAAGCUUGUUUUUUUUUUCUGGAUAACAAACUUGUUAAAAAAAUACAAGGGUUUUUUAAUUAUACAAAAUUGUAAUACACGUAAACACACGUACACUCACACAAAUACACACACACACACACACACACACACACACUUAUCAAUUAAUUAAAAAUCCAAAUGUUUGAACACGCUAGAUAAACAUAAGAUAAACAGACUAGGUAUGACGACCUUUUUACAUAUAUUGUUUGUAUAUACUGUAUUGAAUCGGUAGUUACGGGGAGACGGACAAGAUGCGUUUUUCCAUGGCGUGGUCUUUGUUGUGUUUUUUUUUCUCACAAAAGAAAAAAUACUGUAAAUCGUAGACGUACAAAAGCAACGACCUAGUCGAUUUGUCGCUUUGACGAACACGAAUUAUCACGAUCACAUUGUGUGUAGGGAAUAUACCGAGACACCGGUGACUGACGAUAACCGGGAAAAGUCCAAAAGUCGAGGAUUAAGUAAAUUUAAGGACGGGUCUAUGUGCUCGCGGUGUUCUUUUUUUAAAGGGAAGGGGCGGUGGACACGCGGUGGAAGAAAAAAAUAUAAAAAAAAAGCCCCGACUUUGCGAUAUCGUUGUUUUUUUACGAUUCAACGGACAUUAACAUAUAACUCUAUUAUAUAUACGUGUUUACGUGACGGUUUUUUUGGUGAAACGGCCAGCGAACUGCAGUUUCAUACCGGGACCGUUUAGGAUUUCAAUACGAUCUCGUUUCCGGGCAGUUUAACUUAUGUCUAUUAUGCACGCGAAAGUUAAUGUAACAAACGCUAAAAAAAAAAAAAAAAAGUAAUAAUAAUAAUACAAUUUCGA